GCGCGCGCGCUGGCAGAGGGGCAGGCGCGGCGCCGUCUGCGGCAAAAAGAAGUCUUGCUUGCCGUACAGAAAGGGCACAGCGGGACCUACGCCAAACGAAGCGAGAGCCGCAGCUAGACAACUUCCACCGCGGUGUUUGCAGAGCAGUGUGCAAAUACGGGGCUGUAGCGGGGAGUCCGACAGCUCAUGCCUCUGGCGUUUGAACGCGCUCCCGGCAGAGCAGGCGCUUCGGUUCUGGGAAGGCGGGAGCUCUGGUAGGCGGUGCGAAGUAGAAAUUUAGCCAUCAUCCGGUCUGAAUUCCCGAUAAUUCCGAGAGGCGCACUCAUGGCGGAAGGGCCUGCUCUGAGCUGUUUGCUUUCAUGGCCCGACUGCCGGUGUCAACAACUCGUUUUUUCUCUUUUAAUUACACUUUAGAAGGAGUGCUUAUACUUCAAACAGUUCCGUUGAAUAUCUCUGGAAACAUAGUUGCGUACUUUGCGCCUGACUGUCUCACAGGAGUGCCGGAAGUAUGUAGAAUUUGGCUUGAGGAAACUAACCAAAACCCAGCUUUGCCUACUGAGGCCGUUUCGUCUCCUUUCUUCCCCCUCCGACCAGACACGGCAAAAACAAACUAUUAAUUCUCCUUGAGAAGAACUUCUUAAUUUCAAUUGGCAGCACAUUUCCUUCAUCAAGGGAAGAUAAACAUUUAGUCUUUCAGUUGAUGGGGUUCGACCUAAAAGAUAAAAGUUCCUAAGAUAUAUACAUUUUAUAUUUGCAGUUACUUUAGUGUCAAACAGGGGCGGAGACUCACGUGCCCACCCGAGGCAUAUCGGAUAGGCUGUAAACCCUCAAAUAACCAGCCAGUGGGGAAAAAGGGAAGGCUUCUUGCGGACGGCGACAGGGAAUUGAAGAAGAUGGCGAAGAAUGCUUAGUGUGCCUUCUUGCUUGGGGCACCCAUUUUGCAAAGAUGUAUGAAAUAAACUAGAGGUGCUUGUAUUCGUGUUGUCCGGUGUCGAUUUUUCGACUCUGGCUAAGUAUUUUUGCCGCUCACAACUUGGAGUCUCGUCCGGCAUUUUCCACUAGUCGUAGAAGGGCGUGGCCAAAUCCAGGAGACGAAAGACGCGUCCCGUUGAUUUCAACGGUUCCGCUCUGAAAACGGCGCCCUCGGCGCGCAGCGGAGAUCCUGGAGGGAGGCAACACGGUGAAGCAGGCGGGUAAAAAGGUGGACAUCUAGGGAAAACUCCGCAGCAAUCGGGCAACUCUGUGCACAGACCAAGGGAGAAAAGGUUGCUGACCCAAACCCCACCAGUGGACUUGGUGGUGCACAAGUUUGAACCAGGACAGUGGUCUUGCUGAAGGUGUGGAAAGAGGCAAAACUGCAGCCAAUGUGGGAAGGACCCUACCAAAUCCUACUUACCACCGAAACGGCAGCCUGCACCAUGGAGAAAGGCUGGACCCACCAUACCUGAGUAAAAGGACCAGUGGACGAACCUCCAGAGGACCCUACUUGGACUGUAGCCACGGCAGAUGCUCCCCUCAAAUUAACAUUUAAAAAGACACCAAGGGGUCUUUGAACCCUGAAGUAUCAGUACUAGUCUGGGACGCAGGACCAGACAGUUAUCCUGGGUGGAGCUCCUGGGAAAGAUACUGAAAGCUAGUUUGCCCACUGAUAGAUGGGUGGACCACAGGUCCAGGGCUUGUAGUGGGGGUUGUAUGCGGGCAUUAGGAAGUUAGACUAGAGCGAGGGCUAGACAAACCCCAAAUUAAGGAAUUGGUGUAGUUUUGGGUACUGUCAACAAGAAGAUUGGAGCAGGACAAGUGGAAUCCUAGGUACUUCCUAAGGAAAAUAGGGUUUAAAUUGGUGCAAGGAUUCAGAUUGAGAAAGGAUAGAGCGUGGGCCGACCUCCAAAGUGGAGAGUGAGCCCUCUCUUUACUCCAGACUGCGCCCCAAGUCCAGGUCAUUCACUCAGUCCUGUGCAAUUGUGAAUAUCAGUCUUUAGGGGAUUUUGCUGCAGGAUCAUGGGAUCCCUUGGAGGCAGGCCUAGGAUGAUAUACUUAUUGCAGAGAGGGCUUCUGGGUGAAUAUUUAAUCCUUGUGGGAAUACUGAUCCUACUGAUGGAUGUAAGAUGUGAGGACCUUGGGGAACCCAACUCCACUGUUUACAAUGAUCUAUUGGAAGAUGAUGAGUGGAGAGGAGGAGCAGGGUAUCCAGUUAAAUUGUGGGUAAAUGUUACCAGAGGACCAUUACAGACUGUUCAAUUUGAUGCUUGCCAGGUACUUGACUGUGGAAUACUGGAUAAUCAAAAAAAACUUAGUAGCUAUGAUAAAUAUUUAUGUCCAGAAGACCGGGCACGGCUUCAUAGGGGAGCACCCUGUCCAGGAUGGAGCAAUGUGUGGUUCACGACCGCCUUUAAUGGGUGGAUAUCACCCCAAGCAAAAGGGAAAGCCCUAACAAGUCAAAUCACCAUGGUUAGGGGGUUGACAGGACCAGACUGUGAGAACCUCGAAUGCAACCCCAUAAUACUCACCAUAAAAGAUGCAAACAGUGAAAUAAGUAGAACGUAUGGGCUGGGGGUCGAUGUAGCAGGUACUGACCCCGUUGCUAGGUUUAGAAUAGUAGUCCAAAGCCCACUGUAACAGGGAAGCCGACCCAAGAAUACUGCAGCCCUCCCAAUGAUACAGAAGUGGUCCCCUCUAAAUAACCCAGCAAUAGUAAGACUGACUGAAAUUUAUGACUUGAAAUAGAAACGGGAUAUGGAGAAGUGAAUGCCUGGUAGAAUGGAUCAAAUACACAGUGAAAAGUAUGAGUAAGAGCAACUGUUAUGCCUGUGCACCUGGCCAACCGAUAGCUCAGGUAGUUCCUUUCCCUUUGGGAUGGGAGAUGGAUCCUGAUCGGAUGCAGUGUAUGCUGUCUCUACCAGGAAGAAACUGCCUGGGGAAAUGAAAGUUGCCGAUCUCUUUCACUCCUAUUACCACCUGUGAAAGGUAAGGACAUGAAAGUGCCCCCAGUAAUCUCUGAGGCCUAUGGAAUUCCCUCCACUUGCCUGUCCAAACAAGGUAAGAACUUCACUAGAACAUGAGAACUGGAGUGUCCUGAAUAUCACCAAAGCAGCUGACAAUCAGGGAAAUUACUCCAAGCUGACUUUUGGUGGUAUUGUGGAGGGAAGAUUUUGAGGCUUGUGCUUGGUCAGGCACCUGUGCACUUGUACACUUGGCAAUCACAUUCCCCUGGCAUUCCAACAAGAAGCAAUUACAAAAGGAUGUAGAGUGAGGAGAGAUGUCUUAGGAACAUUGCUUGAUUAUAAAACGUGUAUUGAUGCAAUAGGAGUCCCAAGUGGAGUCCUGGAUGAGUUUAAAGCCAGAAAUCAAAUAACAGGAUUUGAAUCAUUUCUGUUUUGGUGGACGACGACAAAUAAAAAUGUAGACUGGAUAAAUUACAUCUACUAUAACCAGCAAAGAUUCUUGAAUUACACAUGAGAUGCUGUAAAAGGAAUAGCGGAACAAUUAGAUGCCAACAGCAAGAUGGCUUGGGAAAACAAUGGUUUUAGAUAUGAUCUUAGUGGAAAAGGAAGGGGUUUGUGUAAUGUUAGGAAGUAAGUGCUGCACGUUUAUUUCGAACAAUACAGCCCCUGCUGGAACCAUCGCAAGGGCCCUCAAAGGUCUUACUACUCUAGACAAAGAGUUAGCUGAGAAUUCAGGAAUCGAUAGCUCCCUCACAGGAUGGUUAGAGUCAUGGUUCAGAAAAUGAAAAGGUAUGGUAGUUUCAAUUUUCACAUCCUUAGUAGUAGUUGCAGGGGCAUAUUAACAGCCUUAGUUUGUUGCAGCAUUCUUUGCAUGAGUGGAUUAACCUCAAGACUAAUAGAAACAGCCAUAUCUAAACAGAUACCCUUACAACCCCCACCUUACAGUGAGGAUGUGAUGUUGAUGGAAGAAGAAAUAGGUUCUGAUAAGGAAGAUGGGAAGGCUGUACCUGGGGAUUGUGCCCUAAUCUUAGCUUCAUUUGAAGCUCCGUACAAUAACUAUGGCAGCUUGGAAAGAAGGGAAGCAAAAUGAGGAGUAACAAGAACUGUCAAAAUAGAAAAGCGGGGAUUUGUGUAAAACAAUGCAGAGUUGUUACUCAGUGAAGAAGGAAGUUGAGACAAGUUAAAACACAUAGACAAAACCAACUGAAGAAUAUUUUUUGAUUCCUGGAAGACAAGUGACUCACCUGAAAGAACCAUCUGUAGAGACAAGUGUCCACCUUAGGCAUAUUGGAUAGGCUGUAAACCCUCCAGUACCCAGCCAAUGGGGGAAAGGGGGAGGCUUCUUGCAGAUGGGGAUGGAAUAAAGUAAGAUGGCAAGCUCUGUUUGGUAUGCCUACUUGCUUGGGACACCCAUUUUUGCAAAAUUAUGAAAUAAAUAGAGCUGCUUGUAUUCAUGUUGUCUGGUAUCAAUUUUUCAACUCUGGCUAAAUAAUAUUUUUGUCACUCAUAGUAAUGAAAUGAUUAGUGUUACAGUUCAUUUAUAUUGCAAUUUAUUGUAGAUCCCACUGUUGAUUCAAGUAUACUGCUUUUUUACUCCAACUUGCUGUUUCAGUGGAGCUGCUCUAUAACAAAAAUGAUCCGAGAUGGAUGAUUGGGUUUAGUCAUUACAGCUUUCUCCAUUUUGGAUCAUUAGUAGACAGGAACAAAAAAUUGACUUGCCUUCCACUCAUUUGUUGCAUUUUGAAUAUUUUCAUUUUAAAUGGUAUAAACAUGUGUAAUUAUGCAUUCCCUUCAUGCUGAAGCAAUAGAGUUGUAUGGGCUCACUCUGGUGUUGGCUAAUAGCAACAUGAACCACCACCAUCAUCAUCAUCAUCAUCAAAAAUCUACUGGCAAGCCUGGUAAAAAAAAAUCAACUUGCCUGACAAUCAUGUUUUGUCUCAGGCAGAACUGACAAACACCAGAAAGAGUAAGAUGUACUAAAGAACACUUGCAAAUAAAAAUAAGGAUCACAUGUGGGAAAGCUGGUUAAAUGUACACAAACACAUGACUUUGCCUGGUCAACAUCCACCUGGAAUUUGGAGGGACAAUGGUUGAAGGAAAGCCAAAGGAACCAAAGAAUGUAUGUUUCUCAGAAAAGCUGGAUUUAUUUCACAUUGUGAUCUGUUUCUAAGGAAGUGUGGGGGGAGAAAGAAGAAAUAAAAGUUCCUUGCUUA